AGAGUUUGAUCAUGGCUCAGGAUGAACGCUAGCUACAGGCUUAACACAUGCAAGUCGAGGGGAAACGACAUCGAAAGCUUGCUUUUGAUGGGCGUCGACCGGCGCACGGGUGAGUAACGCGUAUCCAACCUGCCCAUCACUUGGGGAUAACCCUGCGAAAGUAAGACUAAUACCCAAUGAUAUCUCUAGAAGGCAUCUGAAAGAGAUUAAAGAUUUAUCGGUGAUGGAUGGGGAUGCGUCUGAUUAGCUUGUUGCGGGUAAGGCCACCAAAGCAACGAUCAGUAGGGGUUCUGAGAGGAAGGUCCCCCACAUUGGAACUGAGACACGGUCCAAACUCCUACGAGAGGCA
rnacentral:rRNA from 1 species